rnacentral:lncRNA from 1 species
AUCUGCAGCCCUAGAGCCUUUCCCCUACAACAGUGAAACCAACAACGAAUGUGUCAGGAGGCGUCUUGAAGUUAUUUAUGACAAGAUAGGCUAAUGUUUAAAGAGCAAUCCGACAUGAGUGAAGAGAAAAUCUCUCAUCUUGAAGAAAAACAAUUCCUGUUGUGUCCCAGAGUCAAGAAGGAUUUAGCACAGAAAUAUAUCAACAAACUUGCCAGGAGAAAUAUCCAGUCAAAGAAAAUGUCAUCACCGCAGACAUCCAUGGACUCGUUCUGGAUCAUCUUGACACUUGCUGCAGACAAGCCAAGAGAGUAAACUGGGCAAGAUGAGUCAAAUUCUAAAAUGGAUCUGUUCGCUUGAAUUAAAUAAAUCACGACACUUGGGAAAUUGUAUGGCAAUGUUAUCGUGACCACGGAAAAGAAAAUUAUUCCACGGGAAAGGACUGGACAAAGCUAACAAUAGCAACAGACAGCAGGGCUACAGAGAGUCCCCAGAUGAAUCCACAGUGUCAGCAUAGCCACAGAGGACAGUGCUGAGACAGCCAAAGAAGUGAUAGGACGAGCAAACAGGAAAUGAGGGGGGACAGUCUCUGCCAAGUGGAAAGGUUGACAGCUGUCAACCGUGCUCCCAGUUCCAAGUCCUGAGUGGGCUUCUUAAAUAGACAUGGAAUGAUACGAGGAAGAAAUAAAGCUCUCCCUGUUUCACAUCUCCCACCUAAUACAGUGUCCUCUGUGUAAGAUGAUAAGGAGUCCUGGAGAGUGGAUCUAGCAUUUUGGAUCCCAAAAGAACAACCACAGUCACAAUGAAGACACAGUGGUGAUGUCCUGCAACAGCAGCCCCGCUGACCAUACCCACUUCUGCCUGGGCAUGAAGCCAUGUGACACCUCCUCAAACACGGGCGCAUUGGCCCUAGGUCUCUGCCCAGUCUCUUCUCCCUGGAGCACCUGGCCUCCCACACCUGCUGCUGCUGUCUUUAUAUAACAACUGCUCUGCCCAUUAUGCAUGGAAGACUGUGAAAUAGACCUGAAGUGCUUUAAUAAAAAGAAUAUUCUACAUCC